rnacentral:rRNA from 1 species
AUGUCGCCACUUCACACCAAGGCCAUGCCUCCGUUCUCCUCCACCACGCCAAUGUCGCCACUCCGCCUCCGCCUCCGCGCCCGCCACUCCUCCUCCACCUCGCAUCCCUCACGCAGCUGGGAUCCCCACGCCGCCUUCGCCGCCGCCACGGAGCGUGCGCGCUCCGGCAACCUCACCCCGGAGGACGCACAUAACCUGUUCGACGAAUUGCUGCGGCAGGGCAAUCCUGUCCUGGAGCGCCCCCUCAACAACCUUCUCGCCGCCCUCGCCCGCGCUCCGGCGUCCGCGGCGUGCAGUGAUGGCCCUGCACUCGCAGUCAACCUCUUCAGCCGCAUAUCCCAAGGCGCCCGCCGACGUGUGGCGCACCCAACGGCCUACACCUACGGCAUCCUCAUGGACUGUUGCUGCCGCGCACACCGCCUCGAUCUGGCGUUUGCUUUCUUCGGCCGUCUCCUCAGGACGGGACUUAAGGCAGGCGUCAUUCAAGUUUGCACUCUUCUCAAGGGCCUCUGCCGCGCAAAGCGGGCAGAUGAGGCUCUCGACGUGCUGCUUCACAGGAUGCCUGAGCUGGGCUGCACUCCCUAUGUGGUGGCGUAUAACACCGUCAUCCAUGGCUUCUUUAGGGAAGGCCAAGUAGGCAAGGCGUGCAAUCUAUUCCAUGAAAUGAGGCAGCAGGGCGUUACACCUGAUGUUGUGACAUAUAACUCGGUUAUUGAUGCGUUGUGCAAGGCCAAAGCAAUGGACAAGGCAGAGUAUUUCCUUGGUCAGAUGGUUGAUGAUGGUGUCGUACCUGAUAAUGUGACAUAUAAUAGCCUCAUCCAUGGAUAUUCCUCUUCAGGCCACUGGAAGGAGGCUGUUAGGGUAUUCAAAGAGAUGACAAGUCGGAGGGUUACACCAGAUGUGCAUACUUACAACAUGUUUAUGACCUUUCUUUGCAAACAUGGAAGAAGCAAGGAAGCUGCAGGAAUUUUUGAUACCAUGGCUAUGAAGGGCCUGAAACCUGACAACGUUUCAUAUGCUAUUCUCCUUCAUGGGUAUGCCACCGAAGGAUGCUUAGUUGAUAUGAUUAAUCUCUUCAAUGCAAUGGAAAGAGACUGCAUUCUACCUGACUGUCAUAUCUUCAGCAUACUGAUUAAUGCAUAUGCUAAAUCUGGGAAGCUUGAUAAGGCUAUGCUUAUCUUCAAUGAAAUGCAGAAACAAGGACUGAGUCCAGAUGCAUUCACAUAUUCAACCGUAAUACAUGCAUUUUGCAAAAAGGGUAGGUUGGAUGAUGCUGUGAUAAAGUUUAAUCAGAUGAUUGAUACAGGAGUACGACCGGACACGGCUGUUUAUAGUUCCCUAAUCCAGGGAUUUUGUAUACAUGGCGAUUUGGUGAAAGCAAAGGAAUAUGUUACUGAAAUGAUGAAGAAAGGUAUGCUUCCUCCUGAUAUUAAGUUCUUCCAUUCAAUCAUGCAGAACCUAUGCACAGAAGGAAGGGUAAUAGAAGCACAAGAUAUCCUUGACCUGAUGGUACACACAGGUGAGAGGCCUAAUGUUGUCACAUUUAGUGUACUUGUCGGUGGAUACUGCCUAGUCCGCAAGAUGGCAGAUGCAUCGAAAGUAUUUGAUGAUAUGGUGUCAUAUGGUUUAGAACCGUGUAACAUUAUGUAUGGUAUACUUAUUAAUGGCUAUUGCAAAAAUAGAAGGAUUGAUGACGGGCUUAUUCGGUUCAAAGAGAUGCUGCACAAGGGACUUAAACCUACAACUUUUAAUUAUAACGUCAUACUGAAUGGAUUAUUUCUGGCUGGACGAACUGUUGCUGCAAAAGAGAAGUUUGAUGAGAUGGUUGAAUCUGGAGUAAGUGUGUGCAUUGAUACAUACUCUAUAGUUCUUGGUGGACUUUGUAGAAAUGGCUGCAGUAGCGAAGCGAUCACCCUGUUCCGAAAAUUAAGCGCAAUGAAUGUGAAAUUUGAUAUUACAAUUGUCAAUACCAUUAUUGGUGCCUUCUACAGGGUCGAGAGAAACCAAGAGGCUAAGGAUUUGUUUGCUGCUAUUCCAGCCAAUGGCUUGGUUCCUAAUUCUGUUACCUACACCAUAAUGAUGACAAAUCUUAUAAAAGAAGGUUCAGUGGAAGAAGCUGACAAUCUUUUUUUAUCGAUGGAGAAUAGCGGCUGUAGUGCCAACUCUUAUCUGUUAAAUCAUGUCAUCAGAAGGUUACUGCAAAAAGGAGAGAUAGUCAAGGCUGGAAAUUAUAUGUCUAAAGUUGAUGUAAAGAGCUACUCACUUGAAGCUAAAACUGUUUCACUGCUGAUCUCUCUGUUUUCAAGGGAAGGGAAAUAUAGAGACCACAUCAAAUUGCUCCCUACAAAGUAUCAGUUUCUGGAAGAACCAGCCACAGUUGAA